rnacentral:rRNA from 1 species
AGAGGCCCAAGUUGAUUGACAUCGGCGUAAAGCGUGGUUAAGGCCAAAAAUGAAACUAAAGCCGAACACCUUCAGAGCUGUUAUACGCAUCCGAAGGCAAGAAGUUCAACCACGAAGGUGGCUUUAUAACCCCUGAACCCACGAAAGCUAAGAUACAAACUGGGAUUAGAUACCCCACUAUGCCUAGCCAUAAACAUUGGUAGCACAUUACACCCACUACCCGCCUGGGAACUACGAGCAUCA